rnacentral:rRNA from 1 species
GACGACCGCUGGCGGCGUGCUUAACACAUGCACGUCGAACGGAAAGGCCCUGCGUUUGUGGGGUGCUCGAGUGGCGAACGGGUGAGUAACACGUGAGUAACCUGCCCUUGACUUUGGGAUAACUUCAGGAAACUGGGGCUAAUACCGGAUAGGAGCUCCUGCUGCAUGGUGGGGGUUGGAAAGUUUCGGCGGUUGGGGAUGGACUCGCGGCUUAUCAGCUUGUUGGUGGGGUAGUGGCUUACCAAGGCUUUGACGGGUAGCCGGCCUGAGAGGGUGACCGGCCACAUUGGGACUGAGAUACGGCCCAGACUCCUACGGGAGGCAGCAGUGGGGAAUAUUGCACAAUGGGCGGAAGCCUGAUGCAGCAACGCCGCGUGCGGGAUGACGGCCUUCGGGUUGUAAACCGCUUUCGCCUGUGACGAAGCGUGAGUGACGGUAAUGGGUAAAGAAGCACCGGCUAACUACGUG